rnacentral:rRNA from 1 species
CACGUAGGGUGCGAGCGUUUGUCCGGAAUUAUUGGGCGUAAAGAGCUCGUAGGCGGUGUGUCGCGUCGGCCGUGAAAACCUGCAGCUUAACUCUGGGCUUGCGGUCGAUACGGGCAUCACUGGAGUUCGGCAGGGGAGACUGGAAUUCCUGGUGUAGCGGUGAAAUGCGCAGAUAUCAGGAGGAACACCGGUGGCGAAGGCGGAUCUCUGGGCCGAUACUGACGCUGAGGAGCGAAAGCGUGGGGAGCGAACAGG